UACGUAAGUGGCGAGCGUUAUCCGGAAUUACUGGGCGUAAAGCGUGCGUAGGCGGUUUAGUGUGUGGGAAUUGAAAGCCCGGGGCUCAACUCCGGAUCCGGUUCCCAAACUGCUAGACUCGAGCGUAUCAGAGGAGAGCGGAAUUCCCGGUGUAGCGGUAAUAUGCGUAGAUAUCGGGAGGAACACCAGUGGCGAAGGCGGCUCUCUGGGGUAUUGCUGACGCUGAGGAGCGAAAGUGUGGGGAGCGAACAGG
rnacentral:rRNA from 1 species